rnacentral:rRNA from 1 species
GCUAGCGUUGCUCGGAAUCACUGGGCGUAAAGCGCACGUAGGCGGAUUGUUAAGUCAGGGGUGAAAUCCUGGAGCUCAACUCCAGAACUGCCUUUGAUACUGGCGAUCUUGAGUCCGGGAGAGGUGAGUGGAACUGCGAGUGUAGAGGUGAAAUUCGUAGAUAUUCGCAAGAACACCAGUGGCGAAGGCGGCUCACUGGCCCGGUACUGACGCUGAGGUGCGAAAGCGUGGGGAGCAAACAGG